rnacentral:lncRNA from 1 species
GCAUUGCACGCACCUGAGCUCCCCGGGCUGGCCCGGCCUUCCGCCACGUGCUCCGUCACUGCUUCAGGCCGGGACUCAGCACUGCCACUACAGAUGGGGUGGUGGCACAUGGGGAGGAUGGGGAUGCCAUGGGAUGGUGGCACAUGGAAGGGUGGAGGUGUUCAGCAAUGGUGACACAUGGGCAGAGUGGAGGUGCCAUGGGAUGGUGGCACAUGGAAGGGAUGGAGAUGCCCUGGGAUGGUGGCACAUGGAUAGGAUGGAGGUGUUCAGAAAUGGUGACACGUGGGCAGAGUGGAGAUGCCCUGGGAUGGUGGCACAUGGAAGGGUGGAGGUGUUCAGAAAUGGUGACACGUGGGCAGAGUGAAGGUGCUGUGGGAUGGUGGCACAUGGGAGGAUGGAGACAUCCAGUUUGGCACAGGGACAGGACGGAGAUGCGGUGGGAUGGUGGCACAUGGAAGGAUGGAGACGGUAUGCGAUGGUGGCACAGGGACAGGAUGGAGAUGUGGUGGGAUGGUGGCACAUGGAAGGGUGGAGACAUCCAGUUUGGCACAGGGACAGGAUGGGGAUGCGAUGGGAUGGUGGCACAGGGAUAGGACGGAGGCGCUGAGAAGCGGCGGCGCAGGGCAGGUGGGGGUGUUAUGGGCAGGUGGGGUUGUUAUGGGCCGGCGGCGCAGCGAAGGACGGAGGUGGGGACGCCGGGAGGCGGCGCAGUGCGGCCCGCUGUGGGGCGGCGCAGAGCUGCGGCGCUGGGAGCGUUUGGUUCUCAUUAUGGGCUGCUGGCAGCGGCGGUGGAAAAAAUAGCAGUGAGUGCAGAGCUGGGAGGGAGAGGGGCCGUGGAGGGGCGGCUGCGGUGUGCAAACAGCGAGCGGUGAGCACGGCCAGCGUGCAAAUACAGCGUGCAACGUGUGCUCAGCGUGCAACGUGCAAAUAAAGCGUGCAGCGUGUGUGCUUAGUGUGCAAGGAAAGCGUGCAACGUGUGCUCAGCGUGCAACGUGCAUAUAAAGUGUGCGGCAUGUGUGCUCAGUGUGCAAAGAAAGUGUGCAACGUGUGCUCAGCGUGCAUAUAAAGUGAGCAACGUGUGCUCACUGUGCAAGGAAAGCAUGCAAUGUGUGCUCAGAGUGCAACAUGCAAAUAAAGCGUGCAGUGUGUGUGCU